UACAGGACCCGGCCCCUGCCCGGGAACUCAGACCCAAGCCUGGCCUGGACCGGUUCCUUCCUCCCAGAGCCAGACCUCAGGCCGACUGAACAAGGAAGCUCCCCAGCCAACAACCCCACACCCAAAGCAGCUGGGAUUCCAGCCAGUAAAAUGUGCCAGGAGAAGAGGUGUGCUAAGAGUUU